GCCGGGGUGGUGGAACGGCAGACACGGAGCACUCAAAAUGCUCUGCCCGUGAGGGCGUGCGGGUUCGAGUCCCGCUCCCGGCA
rnacentral:tRNA from 1 species